rnacentral:rRNA from 1 species
GGGAUUAGAUACCCCACUAUGCUUAGCCUUAAACCUAGAUGCUACAUUUACAAGUGGCGUCCGCCAGGGUACUACAGGCGCUAGCUUGAAACCCAAAGGACUUGACGGUGUCUCAGACCCACCUAGAGGAGCCUGUUCUAGAACCGAUAAUCCCCGUUAAACCUCACCACCCCUUGUCUUCUCCGCCUAUAUACCGCCGUCGCAAGCUUACCCUGUGAAGGUCCUAUAGUAAGCAAAAUGGGCAUACCCCAAAACGUCAGGUCGAGGUGUAGCUUACGAGGUGGGAAGAAAUGGGCUACAUUUUCUAUAUCAGAAUAUCACGAACGGCGCUGUGAAAUUAGUGCUUGAAGGUGGAUUUAGUAGUAAUAAAGAAAUAGAGAGUCUUUUUGAACCAGGCUCUGAGACGCGCACACACCGCCC